AUUAUGGAUGAAAGGCGCUUUUGCGUCACUGAUGGAUGGACCCGCGGUGCAUUAGCUAGUUGGUGGGGUAACGGCCUACCAAGGCUGCGAUGCAUAGCCGACCUGAGAGGGUGAUCGGCCACACUGGGACUGAGACACGGCCCAGACUCCUACGGGAGGCAGCAGUAGGGAAUCUUCGGCAAUGGACGCAAGUCUGACCGAGCAACGCCGCGUGAGUGAAGAAGGUUUUCGGAUCGUAAAACUCUGUUGUUAGAGAAGAACAAGGAUGAGAGUGGAAAGUUCAUCCCUGACGGUAUCUAACCAGAAGUMCGAUUUUGC
rnacentral:rRNA from 1 species